rnacentral:lncRNA from 1 species
GGGCUCCAUAUUUGGGCAACAAGUGUUAUCAGAGCCUGAUGCUCUAGUUCUUUCUUGAUUUAACCAUCAAGAGCUAAAGAUCCAUAGUAGCUCAAUUUGGCACAUCCCUAUCCGAAGGGCAUUCCACAAAUUGACCUCCAUUUUUCAAUGGAUCAAACUACACCUAUUGAAAAGCUUGGAUGAGAAUUUUUAUUCAAGCACUUGUCUAUGACAUAUAGAGUAUCAUAGUAAAU